rnacentral:tRNA from 1 species
UGGGGGUUCGUCUAAUGGCAGGACGACUGACUCUGGAUCAGUUAAUAUUGGUUCGAAUCCAGUACCCCCAGCAA